CUUGGUCAUUUAGAGGAAGUAAAAGUCGUAACAAGGUUUCCGUAGGUGAACCUGCGGAAGGAUCAUUAUCGUAACGUGGAUUGGGCUUAGGCCUCGCUUGGGUUUCACGACCUUUGAGCGGGCCUUGGUUGCUCUCCGCUUCAUCUCUUCUAAUACACCCUUGUGCACCUUACUCGGGGUUGGUUGCGCCGGAUUUGGGGCUUGCUUUCGAGCUCUCCCCUACCCAUUAGCUUCGUGCUAAUACCCGUCGGCUAGUGACCCCCCGUUUCAAACAAACUCUUUUUUUAACUUUGUAUGUAUGUUUCUUAACGAAACCAGUAACAACUUUCAACAACGGAUCUCUUGGCUCUCGCAUCGAUGAAGAACGCAGCGAAAUGCGAUAAGUAAUGUGAAUUGCAGAAUUCAGUGAAUCAUCGAAUCUUUGAACGCACCUUGCGCCCGUUGGUAUUCCGACGGGCAUGCCUGUUUGAGUGUCUUGAAACCAUCAACCGCCCCGGUUUGCGCUGGGUUCUAGGUUGGAUUUGGGGGUUAUUGCUGGCGAGAGUCGGCUCCCCUUAAAUGGAUCGGUUGUGGGCCUUUGGCUUAUGCGCCGAAAUGGGCGUUGUAUUACCCUCGCUUCCUUAGACUGCGGCCUUUGUUUAACCCCUUCCUCGACUUGCCUCUGGAGUGGCGGUCAACCUUUGACUUCUGACCUCAAAUCAGGUAGGACUACCCGCUGAACUUAAGCAUAUCAAUAAGCGGAGGAAAAGAAACUAACCAGGAUUCCCCUAGUAACUGCGAGUGAAGCGGGAUGAGCUCAAAUUUAAAAUCUGGCGGUUCCGCCGUCCGAGUUGUAAUCUGGAGAAGUGCUAUCCGCGCUGGACCGUGUACAAGUCUCUUGGAAUAGAGCGUCAUAGAGGGUGAGAAUCCCGUCUUUGACACGGACUACCAGGGCUAUGUGAUGCGCUCUCGAAGAGUCGAGUUGUUUGGGAAUGCAGCUCAAAACGGGUGGUAAAUUCCAUCUAAAGCUAAAUAUAGGCGAGAGACCGAUAGCGAACAAGUACCGUGAGGGAAAGGUGAAAAGCACUUUGGAAAGAGAGUGAAACAGUACGUGAAAUUGUUGAAAGGGAAACGCUUGGAGUCCAGUCGCUUCUUCCGGGAUUCAACCUUGCUUCUGCUUGGUGCAUUUUCCGGUUUGAGGGGUCAGCAUCAGUUUCUGGGCCGGAUAAACGCGUUGGGAACGUGGCACCUUCGGGUGUGUUAUAGCCCUUCGUUGCACAACGGCCCGUGGGACUGAGGAUUUCCGGUUUACGCCGGGAUGCUGGCAUAAUGGCUUUAAGCGACCCGUCUUGAAACACGGACC
rnacentral:rRNA from 1 species